rnacentral:tRNA from 1 species
GGGGUUGUGGCUCAGUGGGAGAGCUCUUGCCUAAUAUGUAUGAAGCCCUGGCUUUGAUCCCCAGCAACACAC